rnacentral:lncRNA from 1 species
AUGAAAAGAAACUACUGAGUCAGUUAGAAAACGAAGGCACCACAUUUGUACGUAGUGUGUAUGGUUCAUUUAUAUCAGCUUCUCAAGUAGUCUGUGAGCCCCAUCACAACUCGAGCUUUUGAAUGUAGUUGUCAGUAUCAACCAUGGCUAGGACUUGCCGAAGUAAACAAUUCUUGGUGCUGUAACCUUCUCCCGACAGCUUGUAGAAGCGAAGAGCAUGGAAACAAUAAUCAUGGGAAUCGUUUACUAUCUGUUAGUCAUGAAUCUACUAUGAGGUGUGGAGAACGAAGCUUCCUCCUAUUUGUCUUACUAGAAAUAAGAAAUGCACAUAGCAAGAAGCAGAAUUGCCCAGACCUAGACGAUAUAUCUUUUACUUGGUUAUUAUGGAGGUUUAGACUUGAUAAGGGUAGUGUAGUGCACGCACAGAUCAUCCCAGGUACAUAUAGAAGUUAUUACAUAUUAUUACAUAAAGGCUUUACUCCAUGGUAUGGUGAGACUUCCUUGACUCAAUUGUCGCCACCAAGAGAUCAGUGGUUCUUGGAGUUCCCCCUCAUCUGUCAGAAAAAAGGAACAUGUUAAUCACAUAAUAAUAUAGAAAAGUAUACUAGCACAUUUUAUUGCAAAAAAUUUAAAUGCCUGUUUUCUCUUUAAAUAAAAAUAAUUAGGCCCAUUCCUUUGCUAUCCAAAAUUUUGACGUCAAUACUUAAUGUUUCAGACCCAUGUUGACAUUGUCCUAAACGAAACACAUGUUAUACUAAACAGGACUGGAUGAAGUUUUUCUCAAAACAAAGUACACAAUGGGCGUGGAGGAUGUGUGUGGGCAUGGCAAACCUGAGAAGUGGUUAUUUUCCUGUGAGAACAGCCUAUCACUUGCUAGUUCAGAAAUGGUGGUCAGUUGAGGUUGCUUCAGGUUCAGGACGUGAGGAAAGUCCUAGUUGAAAAAGCUGUGGCGCUUUCCUGUGCAGCCCAGAGCAAUCCUCCGAAAUAGGCAUAUUGAAAGAAUUGGUUUUUGUGGACGUGGGGAAACCAUAUAUCAUGCCCUGUUUGAAUGUACAUGGGCAAAAUUAUUUUGGAAGGAAAUCAGAUAUGUUGCUGCAUUCAAGGUACCCGAGCUACACCCUCACUCUUGUGCUCACUCUUGGGCUAUUUGGUCACUGAGGGAUGCUAGAAAUCAUGGAGGAAGGAGCGGACAGUAGUGCACUCUGUCAAAUGGUUGUUGGAUGUGGCUUGGGAUUUAUCAUUAACGGAAGAGAAAGAAACGAUGUUAAGCACCAUUGGAAGCCACCCGAUGCAAGUACUAUCAAAAUCAGUGUUGCCUUCUCUAAUGCAAAUCACCAAUUAGGUACAGGUCUUGUAUCUGCUGUCAUGAGGGGAAGCUGAUAUGGGCACAAGCAUUGUGGUACAAUGUAGCUGCUAGUGCACCGACACUAAAAACUCUUGCAAUCAGCUGCAUAUCUACUGCAUUUUGCUCGGCUGCUGCAAAUUAUAUAGAUAUCAUUAGCUGCAUAUCUGAAACCGACCACUCACUACAGUCAAUUUGCCAUGUCAAUGUCAACGUCAGAUGGUGUAAAUAUGCUAUGCAUCACAUCAUGGUUAUUUCAUAAAUCUGAUACAUGCUUGCAUUCCGGCUCCUACUUUUUUUGUUAUAAUAAAUGGCCUAUCUUAUGGGCACUUCCAAAGCAAUAGAGGUAUAAGUUAAGGUUGCCCUCUUUCUCCCUACUUGUUUGUGCUUGCUAUAAACGAACUUUCUAUUUCUCUUCAAUAGUAAAUGUGUUGAAAUCAUUUGGAAGGGAUAUCUUUAGGGCCAGGCUGUCCACCCAUUUCACUCCCUAAUGUUUGCUGAUGAUCUUCUUCUCUGUGGUAAGGCUACUGCUACCGAAGCCAUUCACAUGUACAAUAUAUUGCAGAGUUAUUUUCAGCUUUCAGGCCAGACCCCCAAUUGGAGCAAAUCAGGUAAGAUCUUUAGCCAAAAUGUCGAUAGAAACACUAAAGAUGGCAUUAGAAACAUUUUUCAGGUGAUAGAUAUAGAUAAAAACUCAGUAUAUCUAGGACACCCUUUGAUUCUUCCAACUAAGGACAAAUCAGCUGCGUACGAUUUUGUAGCAGUAAAAUUAAGCAAUAAACUUACAGGUUACAAGGCAAACAAACUCUCUCAUGCCGGAAGGCUUACCCACAUUAAUCCUGUUUUUUUCUUCUAUUCUUGUAUAUCAUAUGUCUAACAUCCUUUUUUCAAGGAAGUUGAUUGCAGAACUUACAGCUAUCAUAAGGAACUUCUGGUGGACAAGAAUUAAUGAAGAGCCUACAACUAAAACUCUCUAUCUCUGGGCAUGGAAGGACAUAUGCAUACCAAAAUGUGAGGAUGGCUUAGGAAUCAGAAACAUUCAAGCAAUGAACAGGGGUCUCAUUCUAUCAGGAGCUUGGAGAAUUGCAGAUAUGAUCCAGAAAGUUUCCUUUCUAAAGUCCUAACAUCCAAAUAUUAUCCCAACACUUAUUUAUUGAGAGCCAGCACUAAAACCCCAAAAUCUGCAUUUUGGUCUUCCAUUAUAAAAUUACGUCAUAUUUUGAUUUCCAACUCUUCCAUACAUAUUUUAGAUGGAAAUUCAUCAAUUUGGAGCACACCCUGGUUUCCCCUUUUGCAAUCCAUCUACGACCACCUCAUAAUGCAACCAAGUCACUUUAAAUAUCCGUCUCAAGUGACAGAUCUGUGGACUCCUAAUAAAAAAUCAUGGAAAGCUAAUCUCAUCAUAUAUAAUCUUUUUGAUCAACAAACAGCUGACUGUAUAAUGCAGGUACUCGUAAUCAACCAAGAAGUAUAAGAUAUUCUAUGCUGGAAGCUACACCCAACAGGAAAAUGUUCGUCUAAAAGUGCUUAUAGAGCAUGCUUACGGGACAUGCAGCAGCAGGGGAACCCCACUCCUAGGCAGGUCCCAGAGGAAACAAAGCAACUUCUGAAGCAAGUAGAGAAGGAACAGACAAUGACACCUAGGGUGCAAACAUUUGCGUGGAGACUAUUAACGAAAGCAGUCCCACCAGGUAUGAUAGCAAUUAAGUUCUCCUCCUCACAUUAACAAACAUUGUACUCGAUGCAAUCUACAGGAAAAUGACAUGCACGUUUUGUAGCCCACUUGCUAAAGCUGCCUGUUUUUUAGACCCAUGGUACGUGAACACUGAAAUUCUCGUUCAACACUAUGAAUCUAUCCCUGCAAUUGUCAACGCAAUUCUCCAUUCCAAUCAUCCACAUGCAUCAAUUACAAACAUUAUGACUUCUUUAUGGUGUAUUUAGAAGUCCAGAAAUGAUAGUCUGUUUGGCAGGAAAGCUAAUACUAUGCAACACAUCCAUCAGGCAAUGCAGGCAAUUAUAAGAAAGAUCCUAUAAGCUAUAUACAGAAAGUGCAGGAGCUUCUUCAGUUCUUAAUUAACAAAGUCAGGACCAAGUCAAACAUGGGGAAGACCAACAGGAACCAGAAUUUGCUAUCAAUGUACAUACAGGUUUUGCAGGUCGAUUAGAGGAAUUGGUAUUCACAUGCAGACAUCAUGGUAACAUUGUAUUGCUGUAUAGAGCAGUUUACUCUUUGGCAGUUAGCUAGGCCCAUGUUAGUUGUGCUGUAGUCGAGUUGGGUAAACUAGGAUCAUAAUAAUUGUACUUUGCACGAGUUUGAUGGAGGAAGAAUCAGUACCGCCUUUAGCUUUUCCUUCCUGAUCUCCUUUUUCUUGUCAGCACGAACCUCCUUUGCCUUCGUGUUACAACUAUGUUCGGCCCGCAGCUUGUUGGUGUCAAACUUGCCAUUGCAAUUGUCGCAGGUGCUGCCCGUUUCCUCGAUCUUAGUUUCUUUCUUCUUCCCCAUCUCGAUGGACCUCUGUAACAAAAGAAAAUCGUGUGAUUGGAUCGGAAAUUCAAGGGACACAAGGACACGACACAUGGGAUUCGAAAGGGAUUGGACUGGACAAGCAACAGGCGACGGAUUUCAAAUAGAAAAUUUGGGGUCGGAUCGCAAAGGGACGAAGGAUCAGAGCUAAGCUGCGUGCGGGGCAGGGACCAGGGAUUCGGAUAGGACAGGAACGGACCUGGCGGCCGGCCGAAGCGGGGCGGCAGCGUCGGAAGCUGGUCGCUCGUCUGUCGUCUCUCCCGUCGUCAGCGGCGGCGCUAGG